rnacentral:rRNA from 1 species
AAUUCGAUUAGAGUUUGAUCAUGGCUCAGAAUGAACGCUGGCGGGGUGCUUAACACAUGCAAGUCGAGCGAGGCGGAGGGGGGCAACUCCUUCCAGUCGAGCGGCGGACGGGUGAGUAACACGUGGGUAACCUGCCCGGAAGUGGGGAAUACCUCGGGGAAACUCGAGCUAAUACCGCAUAACAUCGCAGGGACGGAAGUCCUGGCGAUCAAAGCGGGGUCGCAAGAUCUCGCGCUACCGGAUGGGCCCGCGCCCGAUUAGCUAGUUGGUGAGGUAACGGCUCACCAAGGCUUCGAUCGGUAACCGGCCUGAGAGGGCGAUCGGUCACACCGGAACUGAGACACGGUCCGGACUCCUACGGGAGGCAGCAGUGGGGAAUAUUGGACAAUGGGCGCAAGCCUGAUCCAGCCAUGCCGCGUGAGUGAAGAAGGCCUUCGGGUUGUAAACCGCUUUUAGUCGGGAAGAAAGGGUUUCCUUGAAUACGGGAGAUUCUUGACGGUACCGGCGGAAUAAGCACCGGCUAACUACGUGCCAGCAGCCGCGGUAAUACGAAUCACUAGUGAAUUCGCGGCCGCCUGCAGGUCGACCAUAUGGGAGAGCUCCCAA